rnacentral:rRNA from 1 species
CCUACGGGAGGCAGCAGUGAGGAAUAUUGGUCAAUGGGCGUAAGCCUGAACCAGCCAAGUCGCGUGAGGGAUGAAGGUUCUAUGGAUCGUAAACCUCUUUUAUAAGGGAAUAAAGUGUGGGACGUGUCCCGGUCCGGAGAGUACCCGGAGAAAAAGCAUCGGCUAACUCCGUGCCAGCAGCCGCGGUAAUACGGAGGAUGCGAGCGUUAUCCGGAUUUAUUGGGUUUAAAGGGUGCGUAGGCGGGCUGUUAAGUCAGCGGUAAAAAUUCGGGGCUCAACCCCGUCCGGCCGUUGAAACUGGGGGCCUUGAGUGGGCGAGAAGAAGGCGGAAUGCGUGGUGUAGCGGUGAAAUGCAUAGAUAUCACGCAGAACCCCGAUUGCGAAGGCAGCCUUCCGGCGCCCUACUGACGCUGAGGCACGAAAGUGCGGGGAUCGAACAGGAUUAGAUACCCUGGUAGUC